CCACUCCGAUUGUUUUCCCGGGAUCACAAUCGAACCCUACUCGUUGGUUUUACCCUCGGCUCACCAACAAACCUAACACAGUUGGUUUUCCCUUUGGCUCACCAACAAACCUUACACAGUUGGUUUUCCCUUUGGCUCACCAACAAACCUUACACAGUUGGUUUUCCCUUUGGCUCACCAACAAACCUUAACCCCUUGAUUCAAUCCCCCGAUUGAAUCAAGUAAAUACACGAGAUAGAAGAAAACAGAAAAUAGCUUCUCAAAAAGCAGAUUUAAAACAAUAUAAUCGUAAAGGAGUUAGAAGCCCUCAAACGCUUUUAAGAUGGUGAAGAGGUGUGGCUUCUGGAACUCCGGUCUCCUCUUGAAAGAGUGAUCGACUUGAAAGCAGGAGGAGGAAGCUUUGAAUGCUGGGAAGAUGUUGGUGGAGCAGUAAAUGCAGAUCUUCCCUUUUUCUCGUUGAAGAGCACUUAGAGAGCUUGAAGACUUGAAUGCUAGG
rnacentral:lncRNA from 1 species